AAAUUCUACCCAUAUUUAGGCUAUUGAAUAAAAUUAGAAACAUGACAUGGCCUUCUGAUGGCCUGUGAAAAGACUGACUGCACACACAGAAGAUUCAUCAUGGUACGUAGGAUCAUUUCAGAGUUCUCAGGAAGACUCCAGAAUGAUACAAUUGAGAGAAAACACCAAACCUGAGAUCUUUAUUCUCUUGCCUUGCUAACUGGCUUCCACGACUUUCAUAGGCUAACUGGUUUCCAUGACUUUCAUAGGCUAACUGGUUUCCAUGACUUUCAUAGCCAGUAUAUAGUCUAGCACAUGAGAUUGUCAUUGUUAAGAGUUUUUUUUUUUCUUUUGAUUCUGUUUUUGUUUCUGGCAUCAUGUAUGAAGCAGCUUAGGAAAAGUAAAUAUCCAUUGUAAUCUGUCCUCUGACAUUGUAUUACCACCUUCAGGCCGCUCCAGAGUGUUGCUUUUUUAUAUCUGGAGAGAAGCAAUUAAAGAGAAGAAAAAAUCAUCUGCUAAAAUGGAUCUUAGAUGCUUGUUCCCUAGUUUGCAAAAGCAGUUUGGCUAUUUUGCCCUUGAGCUCUAAAAAUGUUGCUGAUUGGCUGAUUGUUAUUUUGUAAUAAUAAAUGGCAUGUAUCCAAGUAAGCAUUCCGAUGACCUCCACAAUAAAAUGUGAUUCUUGGCUGCAAGGUCUAUUGGGGGUGGCAGGCUGCCAGCCACUCAUAUAUCAUUUACAGGUGGCUGUUUCUGACAGGCCAGUGUUAUUGUAAAUGAGUGACGGUCCCUAUAACUCACCUGUAAGCCUUACUCCACUUGCCGAGGGCUUCCGAGAUCCCCCACCCCCUUCACCACACGUGCUCCUCCCGCUUGAAGACCCACAUGCACAGACCCUCACACGCAGGCUGACUGCAACGAGCUCAUCAGUAGGUGGAGCUACCUUGUAUGUGAUUGACGAUAAUUAGGUUUCAACUGCCUUCUGAUGCAGAAAUACACACCAUUACAGCCUGGCCAAUUCUGCUCCUGCAAUCUUGCCUCUGAAAGAGUAUUGAUUCACUCUUUCACAUUUUUAAAAGGUCAUGGCAAUAAUUCCAUCUGAACUGUGCUAAGUGAAAAUAGUUGUAGAAAUAAGACGGUUGCUUCUUAGCUCCACUGUAAUUGAAAGCCACAAUGGCGGUUUGUUGUUUUAGUAUAUUUUAAUUACAUGUGUCUCUCUGCCCUGUCUUAGCCUGAUGAAGUGUGUGUAAAGUUAUAAAGCAGGCGGCUCCCUGUGUUAAUGUCUUCUGACUUUUGGCAAAGAGGACUAUUUUGUUUCCCUACUGAGGAAGGUGAAGCCUAACCAAACACUCGGGUUAUGCUGCCUUAUUAAUUUAGGAGUUAAAAAGAGAAGGCUUGAACCUUUUCCCUGCACUGUCAUCUGCCUGCCUGUUUUUUUUAAAUAAAAGUAGAAUAUAUUAGCUUUGGUGAACAGGAUGCUAGAUUUGCUUACUUUCUGCAAAUUACCACUGUAGUUGAACAUCCUUUUCUGGGUUGACUGGAAAAUAUUAUUCUCAAUAGUUAUCAGACCAUAAUAAAACAAGUUUAUUAUGAGGGUGCAUAGCUCCCAUACUGUAACCAUCCUAGCAAGUGACAGGAAACUGUAUGAUACGGCGCAAAUUACCGGAAUACGCAGUCUGCAGUGUGAAGCUUUUUCCUACAUCUUCAGCUUUUCUGAGGUAAAGGAGUUUUAAAGUGCUUGAAUUGCAUGUUUUAGGAAAGUGGGUGAUCAGACUUUAUGCUCUGAGCCACCCUGGAUAUCUCUCCCAGUUAGAGGAGAAAAAAAAAAAAAGAGUCUCAGCUGUUUUUAG